rnacentral:lncRNA from 1 species
CUUGAGCUCCCACCAACGACCUGCUUCCCCUACCAGCAUGUAGGAAGCAAGGGCAGCUCUCUGCUCGGGAACCACUCCCAAGGUCUUGAAAGCUCUCUCAGUCUCCGCCAACCAGUACUGGGCAUCUUCAAAAGAGGAUCCCCCUGCAAAAGUGGAAGGGUUCAGUCUCCUGUACCUCUCUAUGUAGCCCGGGUCGAUCAAGGAAGGAG